rnacentral:snRNA from 1 species
GAUGAGCUCAACGAGAACAGAAAUC